rnacentral:lncRNA from 1 species
AUUAAUGCAUACAAUGACUCAGCUAUCAAAGUUUAAUGUAAUAUUACAAUACUCAAAACACCUGUCCAUUCCUACAAGAUGGUUAAUGAAUGUAAAAUAUCAACAAAUCACAUAAAAUAUCAUUUCCCUUGGUAUUGACAACUCUAAAAUAUUGUUCAAGAAGGAUACAUCAAAACUAUGCAUUAAUAUGUUUUUAACAGUUGUGCAAGCUUUAGGAUUAUUGCAUGAAUAUUGGUGAGUAUCAUACAAUUGUGGCCAGUAAAGGUAAAUAUUCAAAAUUGUCAACCCAAAAUGAACACAAAAAAAAAUUCCAAAAAUAAUAAAAAAUGUAUUGACAAUGUGCAGCAACAUUGAUGUUGAAAAAUGUUACACUGUAAAUCCUUCAUUAACAUUUUUCCAUUUAACAUCCCGGUUUAAAAAUGAGAAAAGGAAUUGUUCAUAAGAAAUAAUUCCGUUAUCUUAACGUAAUCAGGGGUUCUGAAUUUUCCACACCUGUGUUAAAUUUUGUACACACCUGAUUAAACCUAGAUAACUAGUAAUAUCCCAGAUCUGUUCCUCGUCACUCGAUGGACUACUUACCUGACCAUUGCUUUUUUUUGUUUACACACUGGGUGCGGAAAUUUCUCGCUACAUUGAAGACCUGUUGGUGACCUUCUGCUGUUGGUUUUUUCUAUGGUCGGGUUGUUGUCUCUUUGGCACAUUCCCGAUUUCCAUUCUCAAUUUGAUCUAUGACAUUAUUUGAUAGGAGAUACAAAAAAAAAUGAUCAAAAAGUUAUUUAUUGCUUGGUGUAAAGUUUUAGGGUUCUUGUUCUUUCCUUGUAUUUAAUUGAAAAUUUACCGAAUAAUUCCAUGUGACAUAUUAAAGGUAUUACUUAUAGAAUUGUUCAUUAUAUAUGUAAGGUAUAAUAUCAUCUCUAGUAGAUAAAAUUGAGAAUGGAAAUGAGGAAUAUGUCAAAGAGACAACAACCCAAUCAAAGAGCAGAAAACAGCUGAAGGCCAUCAAUCUUCAACGCAGCAAGACAAUCCCACACCCAGAGGCGGGCUGAGGCUUGCCCCUAAAGAAUUUAUAUUGCACUUGCAAACUCAGGUAAUAUAAAAUCUACUUCGAAGUCAGGACAUUAUUCACCAAUACUCGUGCAGUAGCUCUAUUCUAUAUCACAAGUAUAUAAUAUAAGUAAUGAUCAGGUGUUCUGAGUCUUGUUAUAUUAAUGAAAGACCUAAGAAAUACAUUCUUAUACAAUGUCAUAUAUGGUGUACAAAAAUCUGUAUAUAAUUCUGAAAUGUUUGACAUACGAUUACAUUAAAUUCUUUUAAAUCAUACAUAUACCCCUAAGGAUAUUGUUAAUACAUGUUGUAUGAAUGUCUUAAAAGAAGGUUAUUGAUUCUUUUUCUUGA